UGGGGAAUUUUGGACAAUGGGCGAAAGCCUGAUCCAGCAAUGCCGCGUGUGUGAAGAAGGCCUUCGGGUUGUAAAGCACUUUUGUCCGGAAAGAAAUCCUUGGCUCUAAUACAGUCGGGGGAUGACGGUACCGGAAGAAUAGGCACCGGCUAACUACGUGCCAGCAGCCGCGGUAAUACGUAGGGUGCAAGCGUUAAUCGGAAUUACUGGGCGUAAAGCGUGCGCAGGCGGUUUGCUAAGACCGAUGUGAAAUCCCCGGGCUCAACCUGGGAACUGCAUUGGUGACUGGCAGGCUAGAGUAUGGCAGAGGGGGGUAGAAUUCCACGUGUAGCAGUGAAAUGCGUAGAGAUGUGGAGGAAUACCGAUGGCGAAGGCAGCCCCCUGGGCCAAUACUGACGCUCAUGCACGAAAGCGUGGGGAGCAAACAGGAUUAGAUACCCUGGUAGUCCACGCCCUAAAACGAUGUCAACUAGUUGUUGGGGAUUCAUUUCCUUAGUAACGUAGCUAACGCGUGAAGUUGACCGCCUGGGGAGUACGGUCGCAAGAUUAAAACUCAAAUGAAGG
rnacentral:rRNA from 1 species